UGAAGACUGUAACUGAAGAUUUUAGGAAAAGCAGUGUAAAAUGUUCAGAGAACAUCCACUGGUCUUGGGGUACCACUAACUGACUUUCGAAUACAGGCAGUGGUCUACCAUGGCUUACCAGAGUCUUUCACCUGUGUACUUCCCUAAACUCUGAGGAUGUUCAACACCUGAAUGACUGGAUCCUAGAGACCUGGGUGAACCUGACCAUGAUGAUCUACCCAUACCUGACCAUGAUGAUACCCAUACCUGACCAACUUUUUAAAGCUUUUGCCUUCUUGGCCUAUCAAGCCUCCUCUUCCUCUCUUGUCUGUCUCCAUGCUUCCCACCUGCCUCCACCCCUGCCCCCUGUCAAGAGGGAGCUCCGCUUCCACCUGCUGUGUGACAUCACCCACUGUGGGAUCCCUG
rnacentral:lncRNA from 1 species